GAUGAAGAACGUAGCGAAAUGCGAUAAGUAAUGUGAAUUGCAGAAUUCAGUGAAUCAUCGAAUCUUUGAACGCACAUUGCGCCCAUUAGUAUUCUAGUGGGCAUGCCUGUUCGAGCGUCAUUUCAACCCUUAAGCCUAGCUUAGUAUUGGGAAUCGACUUUACUGUCGUUCCUCAAAUUCAACGGCGGAUUUAUAGCAAUCUCUGAACGUAGUAAUUUUUUUUCUCGUUUUUGAAAUACUAUAAACCUCAGCCGCUAAACCCCCAAUUUCUUAUGGUGGACCUCGGAUCAGGUAGGAAUACCCGCUGAACUUAAGCAUAUCAAUAAGCGGAGGA
rnacentral:misc_RNA from 1 species